rnacentral:rRNA from 1 species
CCUACGGGUGGCAGCAGUGAAGAAUAUUGGUCAAUGGACGAGAGUCUGAACCAGCCAAGUAGCGUGAAGGAUGACUGCCCUAUGGGUUGUAAACUUCUUUUAUAAAGGAAUAAAACGAGGCACGUGUGCCUUUUUGCAUGUACUUUAUGAAUAAGGAUCGGCUAACUCCGUGCCAGCAGCCGCGGUAAUACGGAGGAUCCGAGCGUUCUCCGGAUUGAUUGGGUUUAAAGGGAGCGUAGAUGGGUUGUUAAGUCAGCGGUCAAAUCGUGGGGCUCAACCCCAUCCAGCCGUUGAACCUGGGGAUCUAGAGUGGGCGAGAGGUAUGCGGAAUGCGUGGUGUAGCGGUGAAAUGCAUAGAAAUCACGCAGAACCCCGAUUGCGAAGGCAGCAUACCGGUGCACAACUGACGCUCAGGCACGAAAGCGUGGGUAUCGAACAGGAUUAGAUACCCGAGUAGUC